GGGGAAUCUUGCGCAAUGCGCGAAAGCGUGACGCAGCAACACCGCGUGAGGGAAGACGGCCUUAGGGUUGUAAACCUCUUUCAGAUGGGACGAAGGUUGUCCGGUGAAUAGCCGAGAUGAUUGACGGUACCGUCAGAAGAAGCUCCGGCUAACUACGUGCCAGCAGCCGCGGUAAUACGUAGGGAGCGAGCGUUGUCCGGAAUCAUUGGGCGUAAAGAGCAUGUAGGUGGAUCAAUUAGUCUGCUGUGAAAGUCGAAGGCUCAACCUUCGAAAGCCGGUGGAUACUGUUGAUCUAGAGUACGGAAGAGGCGAGUGGAAUUCCUGGUGUAGCGGUGGAAUGCGCAGAUAUCAGGAGGAACACCAAUAGCGAAGGCAGCUCGCUGGGACGUAACUGACACUGAGAUGCGAAAGCGUGGGGAGCAAAC
rnacentral:rRNA from 1 species